rnacentral:tRNA from 1 species
GCCGCGAUGGUGAAAUGGUAGACACGCACGCUUCAGGUGCGUGUGGGAGCAAUCCUGUGAGAGUUCGAGUCUCUCUCGCGGCACCA